UUGGCGUUGCGCAACUGGCGAUAAGACGGCACGGCCGAUCAUCCGGAACAGCUCGUCGAGGUGGACAACCACCGGGAAGCGCAACGUUCGCCGCCGUUCGCCUGGGCCCCCACG
rnacentral:ncRNA from 1 species